UAAUCUUAUAUUAAUAUAUUGCCAUAACGGCAUCCUAUAUUAAAAUAUACACUAUAUAAGCAUCGCUGGCGUAGC
rnacentral:tRNA from 1 species